rnacentral:tRNA from 1 species
UCUAAUAUGGCAGAAUAGUGCAUUGGACUUAAACCCCAAUUAUAAAGAUUUUAAAUCUUUUUUUAGAA